GUCUGUGGGCAUAGUGGUUUGAGUGCUGGACUAUGACUCUGGAGACCAGGGUACAAUUCCCUUUUGGCCA